rnacentral:lncRNA from 1 species
UUAUCCACAUUCUCUCUAACACUCUCAUUUCUUCCUCUUCCUCACCUAAGUGCUUUAGCACUAAUAAUAUGUGUAUGGUGUGCAUUAUUUGCAAAGCAUAUUAAAAUGCAUUUUUUCAAAAUUUAUUUUGUCUUUUUUUUUUAAAUCAAUUUACAAAUAAUUUAAAAAAAUUUAAGAGAUGAAUUCUCUUCUUGAAUUUACUAUUUCUCUCAAAAAUUUCUUGAACAAUAUCUAUUUAAAUAAAUUCUUAAAUUAAAAAUUAUUAAAUAUAUGUAUGGUUUUACAAUCCCUCCAUCUUUCUUUUCGUUUUUUUCUUAUACUUUUACUCAAAACAAAUAGCUAAAAUAUCUUCUUACAUUCUAUUCAUUCUCUAUUCAAUUUUUAAUUUUUUAAUUUCUUUCCUUUUAGAGAGUUAAGAAACAUAUUUAAUCCAAAUAAUUAUUAAAGGAAUAUCUUUAAUUAAAAAACCAUUUCUUAAUUCCUCCCCAAGUAGCUUUAACAUGGACUACAAGGCCAUAUUAGUAUAAAUUAUAAAAGAGAAUGUACAUCCAUGGCCAUAAAGAAUGGGCGUGAAGAAAAAAUUGGCAAAUAUAUCAUAAUCAUAACUACCACCAAACCAUAUGUAUAUUUGCUUUAAUGAAACUUGAGGUUCACUCCAUGUUUUGGUGCAGGUCUAAUCAGUAUGCUUCUUUAAGUUCACAGUUGGCUUAAUUAUGAGGAUAAUGGAUAACACUAUAACAUGAUGACUAGGGCAAUCCCUUUCUACACCAAGUCCAUGUAUUAUUCACACGGAGUUAAGUUUGCAAUAUUUUUAUUUUGAAGUUGUUUAUACUUCAGUUCAUUAAUACAGUAUUUUUAUAAGCAAAUAUACUCAAAAGAGUAAAUGGUACUAUUCAAAAUUUGUUACAAAUAAACUAUAUCACAAAAAGGAACUUUUUUCUUUCUUAACACUAAAUUCAUCAUAAAAGAUAGAUAAAAAAUGAAAGAAAAAAAGUAUUGAAAUUGAAG